rnacentral:rRNA from 1 species
GUGAGGAAUAUUGGACAAUGGGCGCAAGCCUGAUCCAGCCAUGCCGCGUGCAGGAAGACGCAUCUAUGGUGUGUAAACUGCUUUUGUACGGGAAGAAACACUCCCUCGUGAGGGAGCUUGACGGUACCGUAAGAAUAAGGAUCGGCUAACUCCGUGCCAGCAGCCGCGGUAAUACGGAGGAUCCAAGCGUUAUCCGGAAUCAUUGGGUUUAAAGGGUCCGUAGGCGGUUUAAUAAGUCAGUGGUGAAAGCCCAUCGCUCAACGAUGGAACGGCCAUUGAUACUGUUAGACUUGAAUUACAAGGAAGUAACUAGAAUAGGUAGUGUAGCGGUGAAAUGCUUAGAUAUUACAUGGAAUACCAAUUGCGAAGGCAGGUUACUACUUGUGGAUUGACGCUGAUGGACGAAAGCGUGGGGAGCGAACAGGAUUAGAAACCCCAGUAGUCC